UCGAAUGUCACAUAUUUACUACAUAACAGGAGUUCUAUACAAAAUAAAUAAAUAAUUACAUUAUAAGGAGACAACGGUCCAGCAACCCAAAGUUGACUGGGAGACGACGACCUAGACCUCUCAUGAACUCGUCACAGCAUCCUCCAUGCGCCUCAUCUUGUGGUACCUGUUCUUGACCUGUGGGGGGGUGUGAGACAGCAAGAGUGAGCUCACAUACGUUCAUCGCUCAACAAGUUGUGGGGAAUAAUGUGCAUGAACUCGCCAAAGGUGGGAGCUCACGUGAAGUGUAAGGCUUACCAAAGAGGAUGGUUAGAGUUGAGCAUUGCUUUUAAAGUUGGUCAAAAUUUUAUUAGCAGUUACUAAGUAUAAGUAAAUACCAACCCAAUUAAGAAAAGUAAUAACAUCACCUGCGAUGCAAUGCAUAUGACAAAUUGAAUUUAGUUCCAUAAAUUAAUCAUGUGAGGGUCCGAGUUGCUCAUGACCGUGAGCACGGCUAGUAUACCAGUUUUACACUCUGCAGAGGUUGCACAUCUUUACCCACAAGUCAUGUUACCCAUCUGCCAAGGGAUCGCGACUUCCCAUACACCUCUACCGAGGAGGCGAGGCAGGGUAACACUACGAGGCCUUUACAAAGUUCCACUAGCUUCAGAAAACCCGCUACAGUUUAUAGGAAGCUCCAAUGCAGGGUUCUUGCCUGACCGCCAUCGCAGCAAAAUCAACUAAGGACCUCCCUACACUGACCACUCCCCUACUGCCCUUGCCCCUUUCGGGUAAGGUAGUCCUCCACUAGCUUUCCUAAUUAAUCAGCCAAGGGCGUCCAUAAACCCUUGUGGUAGCACUGUUUUCCCGGUGGUCGCUCCAUGUUCCAAUUAACAUAAUGAUCUUAUCAUGGACAGUGAUAAUAAACAGAUAAUAAAAGUGUGAUCAUGAAUAAUGUAUCUUCAUACCCAAAACCAUAUAAAGCACUAGCAAGUACUACCCAAAAAGUUCAGUGGUAAACAAGGUAUAAAGAUAGACAAACUAGGGUAACCUAUUGGGUCCCAUCAAAAUUAACCUAUGCAGAUCAUUAUGAUUAAUCAGAACAUGGCUGGGUAAAAAGAAGUGAUCAAGGGCACAACUUGCCUGGCACUUGAGAUUCUAGUUACCAGGGUGAUUCUUCAAAUCCUCGUGACCGCACUGCUAGUCGUAGCAAUACAAACAGAUAUGGUAUAGAAAAAAUUAACAUCACACCAAUCAUAAGUACAAACUGAAUAAUAAUGAUCUACGCGAUGAUACGAGAUCGUAGAUUCAAGAACCACUAGAUUCGGAGCUACGGUUAUAAAGUUAUGAUUUUCUAAAGGUUUAGGAGUCGGAUACAAAAGAAAUCAAGUGCAUAAUUUUAAUUUAUGUUUCAUAGCAAAAUAAAGUUACCGGUUAUAAACAAUAUUAUUAUGGAUUUAUUGCAACUGGAAUGCAUUAUGUUGGAGUUAAAAUAUAUUAAUUAUGCAUUUACUAAAAAAUUUUUCUAGAUUUAUUUUCACAUUUAAACCAUUUUCUAGGUUUAUCCUAAAAGAAUAUCACAUUCUUGGGCUGCGGGUAAAACUACAGAGAAGUUCAGGACUAAAUUAAUUAAAUCUAGGACCUAAAUGUAUUAAUCUUUACGCCCUACAUGGACAGCGGGUUAGUUUCGCUAUUUUUCAUGGACUCUUGGAAAACCGGCUUGCUGCUAAAAUCACGAGGAUAUUCCAAGCCGUCCGAUUCACAACCAGCGAUCUGGAUUAGAAGACCCACGUGCCGAACAGGUACACAACGCCUGCCUUUGGAUCAUAGAUCGAUGGUCCGAAAUCCAUCGUGAACUACUGUAUUACUAGCCAUCCGAUAUAAAUCCCACGGUGACUGCCCCGCCUUCGACCUCACCACCAACAGCACGCAAACAAAACUCGCACUCCUUCUCUAUCGUCUGCUAAACCUAGAGCGACGGCUGACUCAGCGGCAUCCUGCCCGGCUACGGUACCGCGCCAGCGCUCCAGGCCAUUAGCCUAUGCUCGAAAAGCAGAGGAAGAUAUCCCGCCAGAGGAGAUGCUCACCGCUGAUGAAGCGAACUGGUUGACGACGAUGCGUAGGCCCACGUCGAGGUGCAGGCACAACGGUCACAGCGAGCUCCGGCACCUGUGGCCACCACCGGUGGAGGGAAGAUCCACGCGCCAGAUGCCUGAUCUCGUGCUGGCGCAUGCGCAAGCAGUCUCCCUCGCAAAUUCCCUAGAAGGCGAGCGAUGCGUGGAACUCAGCUCCUACCCGGGCAUCCUUGCGGCAAUGGUGAGGGGCGGUUAUGGGGAGGAGUAGUUUUAUACCCAGAGCUGGGAUCCGAUCGGCUAGCGCCGAGCUGGCACAUGGGAAAGAUUUGUUCCAAGUUUGUUGCGAUGAAACUGGAAUGGAUAUCUACUGAGGCGGCGCUAGGAUCUCCUCUACGGUCGGCCAUACGGUUGCCAUACCAGAAGGGCCCAACUGCUAGUGAGUACGGGGUUUCACAACUGACCUCAUCCCUGACGCCACGAUGACGUCAGCACGACGGAAAUGAAUAAAGAAUGCGGUGUACGUGGGUGGUUCUGCGUGAGUGAGGUGACCGACGUGACUCUGGCUUAGACUACGGUUAUCGCUAAUUAUCAUUUAAAUAUUCCUAAGGUUUUAGCUUUUGAUUUAAAUUUUCUUUUCUAGUUUGGGUUCACGCCAUUUAAUGCAACAGUCAAAAAGUCUCGGCAUGUGCUACCCAUUUGAUUCAUAGUUUAUGUAAUUACUACUUAUUUUAAUUGAGUACGGAUCUUAUGGUUAUUCGUAGAAUAAAUGUCGAGUCACAUAACAAAUUACCCAACUUAUGAAUCUGCUACGCUCACAAAAUGAAAAUUACUCUUUUGAAUGUAUAGUACAUUUAAAGUUUGGUUCAUAUUUAUCCAAAGAGGGGACUGUGCAGUGUAUAAUUGUUACCAAGGUAUCUUUUUAACUUAAUUCUUUUGGGGAAAUAUUUCUAACCAUAUGAUUCAACAAAGGUGGGUUUUAAUCAUAUAGGAUCGUUUAUUUAAUCUCUUAUUAUAAAAGACUUUAUUCAAACCUGGGAAUACAAAUUCCUAAAUCUCAAUGUAGGAUUUUGGGCUUUACAAAUCCUACCCCCCUUAAAAAUAAUCUCGUCCUCGAGAUUUGUAAGAAAAGAGAUGCAGAAGGAUUGGUUUGUAAUUCAGCUUUUAGUCUAUCGUCAUUCCAAAAGUCGAGAGUCUCAAAAAAAUUCUUUGUGGGUGAUUAGAAGAGCAUAGGUAUAUGUAGGUAUAGCCACGUUAUUAUAUAGGCUAAAAGAGGGGUAGUUUAGAGCAAGAAUAGCCUCAGGUAAGAAAGUUUAUGGUGGGAAAGAACUCCGUGUUGAGUGGUAAGGCAUCUGAAGAUUGAGUUUGACUUCUCUCCUUCCUUGACGAGGUUGAUCUUGUCCUUUUUUUCUUGGUCUCAUUGAUUCGAGGUUAGUGUACAUCAUCAGAGUUACCGGAGUAUGGUUGAAGAUAGAUAUGGGUGAGAUGGACUACAUGAUGUAGGUUAAAGUUUGUUUGAUGUUAGGUGGGGAUAGACAGAUUAUGCAAUUCUUCAUGACUCUAUUGGUUGGGUAAGUUAUGUAACUUGUUAUAUAGGUCAAGUUGUUGUGUAUGGCCAAGUCGAUCUAAGUCACCAAUUUAGGCUUAAGUGAAUUAGGAGUAUGGCCAUAUCCUUUGUACUAGCAUUAAGUAACUUACUCUAGAUUAGAUCAUGAUAGAUUAGAUAGAAUCCAGAUUAGGUUGGUACAACUAGAUUAAACUAGUUAUGAUCUCAUUAUUUUGGAUUAGGUCCUGGUGGUUACUUUAGGAUCAGAUAAAUAUAGUGGUUAGGAUAAAACGAAUCUUUCAUGAUGAGAUGAAUUCAUUAAGAUAAGAGAGAAUCUUUUAAGAUAAGAUGGAUCUACUAAAAUAUGAUAGAUCUUUUUAAGAUGAGAUGGAUAUUGUUAGGCUAGAUACUUUAUUGAGGGAUAAUCUAGUUUGUCUAGUUAGUUUUAUAAGCAUUAUGUAUAUGCAGAUGUAAUUGUGGAUAUUACUCCACAACUCAUCACACUCAAUCAAAGAUCCAAAUCAGACAUGUAUCAUAAGAACAAAACAUUCAAAUUCAUAGAUAUCUAUAAAAAUAGUUUUAUUUUUGUUCCUAAGAGUAGGUCUCCUAUUCCAAAAAUUCACUUUAACCACAGGAUUCCAAAGUGUGAAAUCCAAGUUUGUCUUUAGAAGUGAAAAGGUAAGAAUAAUCAGAGUAAAGCGGAAAUAGAUGAGAAAAGAUUAAGAAAAGUUUAGAAAAGAAUCAGAGUAGCAAAGGUAAGUAGACAAUGGUUGUCCAGUUCUAUCUAGGUUUCGUCCUACAGUCAACAUUCCUCUGAUACCACUUCUGUCACACCCGGGUUUUAGGGCACCAAGACCCGGGCGCGAACAUAAUCACCAGGUGCGCUGGGACCAAGUCUCACACAUAUGAUGAAUCAUGGCACAGGAUCGAAUGUCACAUAUUUACUACAUAACAGGAGUUCUAUACAAAAUAAAUAAAUAAUUACAUUAUAAGGAGACAACGGUCCAGCAACCCAAAGUUGACUGGGAGACGACGACCUAGACCUCUCAUGAACUCGUCACAGCAUCCUCCAUGCGCCUCAUCUUGUGGUACCUGUUCUUGACCUGUGGGGGGGUGUGAGACAGCAAGAGUGAGCUCACAUACGUUCAUCGCUCAACAAGUUGUGGGGAAUAAUGUGCAUGAACUCGCCAAAGGUGGGAGCUCACGUGAAGUGUAAGGCUUACCAAAGAGGAUGGUUAGAGUUGAGCAUUGCUUUUAAAGUUGGUCAAAAUUUUAUUAGCAGUUACUAAGUAUAAGUAAAUACCAACCCAAUUAAGAAAAGUAAUAACAUCACCUGCGAUGCAAUGCAUAUGACAAAUUGAAUUUAGUUCCAUAAAUUAAUCAUGUGAGGGUCCGAGCUGCUCAUGACCGUGAGCACGGCUAGUAUACCAGUUUUACACUCUGCAGAGGUUGCACAUCUUUACCCACAAGUCAUGUUACCCAUCUGCCAAGGGAUCGCGACUUCCCAUACACCUCUACCGAGGAGGCGAGGCAGGGUAACACUACGAGGCCUUUACAAAGUUCCACUAGCUUUAGAAAACCCGCUACAGUUUAUAGGAAGCUCCAAUGCAGGGUUCUUGCCUGACCGCCAUCGCAGCAAAAUCAACCAAGGACCUCCCUACACUGACCACUCCCCUACUGCCCUUGCCCCUUUCGGGUAAGGUAGUCCUCCACUAGCUUUCCUAAUUAAUCAGCCAAGGGCGUCCAUAAACCCUUGUGGUAGCACUGUUUUCCCGGGUGGUCGCUCCAUGUUCCAAUUAACAUAAUGAUCUUAUCAUGGACAGUGAUAAUAAAUAGAUAAUAAAAGUGUGAUCAUGAAUAAUGUAUCUUCAUACCCAAAACAAUAUAAAGCACUAGCAAGUACUACCCAAAAAGUUCAGUGGUAAACAAGGUAUAAAGAUAGACAAACUAGGGUAACCUAUUGGGUCCCAUCAAAAUUAACCUAUGCAGAUCAUUAUGAUUAAUCAGAACAUGGCUGGGUAAAAAGAAGUGAUCAAGGGCACAACUUGCCUGGCACUUGAGAUUCCAGUUACCAGGGUGAUUCUUCAAAUCCUCGUGACCGCACUGCUAGUCGUAGCAAUACAAACAGAUAUGGUAUAGAAAAAAUUAACAUCACACCAAUCAUAAGUACAAACUGAAUAAUAAUGAUCUACGCGAUGAUACGAGAUCGUAGAUUCAAGAACCACUAGAUUCGGAGCUACGGUUAUAAAGUUAUGAUUUUCUAAAUGUUUAGGAGUCGGAUACAAAAGAAAUCAAGUGCAUAAUUUUAAUUUAUGUUUCAUAGCAAAAUAAAGUUACCGGUUAUAAACAAUAUUAUUAUGGAUUUAUUGCAACUGGAAUGCAUUAUGUUGGAGUUAAAAUAUAUUAAUUAUGCAUUUACUAAAAUUUUUUUCUAGAUUUAUUUUCACAUUUAAACCAUUUUCUAGGUUUAUCCUAAAAGAAUAUCACAUUCUUGGGCUGCGGGUAAAACUACAGAGAAGUUCAGGACUAAAUUAAUUAAAUCUAGGACCUAAAUGUAUUAAUCUUUACGCCCUACAUGGACAGCGGGUUAGUUUCGCUAUUUUUCAUGGACUCUUGGAAAACCGGCUUGCUGCUAAAAUCACGAGGAUAUUCCAAGCCGUCCGAUUCACAACCAGCGAUCCGGAUUAGAAGACCCACGUGCCGAACUGGUACACAACGCCUGCCUUUGGAUCAUAGAUCGAUGGUCCGAAAUCCAUCGUGAACUACUGUAUUACUAGCCAUCCGAUAUAAAUCCCACGGUGACUGCCCCGCCUUCGACCUCACCACCAACAGCACGCAAACAAAACUCGCACUCCUUCUCUAUCGUCUGCUAAACCCAGAGCGACGGCUGACCCAGCGGCAUCCUGCCCGGCUACGGUACCGCGCCAGCGCUCCAGGCCAUUAGCCUAUGCUCGAAAAGCAGAGGAAGAUAUCCCGCCAGAGGAGAUGCUCACCGCUGAUGAAGCGAACUGGUUGACGACGAUGCGUAGGCCCACGUCGAGGUGCAGGCACAACGGUCACAGCGAGCUCCGGCACCUGUGGCCACCACCGGUGGAGGGAAGAUCCACGCGCCAGAUGCCUGAUCUCGUGCUGGCGCAUGCGCAAGCAGUCUCCCUCGCAAAUUCCCUAGAAGGCGAGCGAUGCGUGGAACUCAGCUCCUACCCGG
rnacentral:lncRNA from 1 species